rnacentral:rRNA from 1 species
GAUGAACGCUGGCGGCGUGCCUAAUACAUGCAAGUCGAGCGAACAGACGAGGAGCUUGCUCCUCUGACGUUAGCGGCGGACGGGUGAGUAACACGUGGAUAACCUACCUAUAAGACUGGGAUAACUUCGGGAAACCGGAGCUAAUACCGGAUAAUAUAUUGAACCGCAUGGUUCAAUAGUGAAAGACGGUUUUGCUGUCACUUAUAGAUGGAUCCGCGCCGCAUUAGCUAGUUGGUAAGGUAACGGCUUACCAAGGCAACGAUGCGUAGCCGACCUGAGAGGGUGGAUCGGCACAACUGAAAUUGAGCACGGGCCAGAAUCCUAAGGGAGGGAAGCAGUGGGGAUCUUUCGGAAAGGGGCGAAGGCCGAAGGGGCCAAGGCGGCGGGGGGAAUGAGGUUCUUCGGAUGGUAAACCCCUUUAAUUGGGGAAAAAAAAAGGGGAAAGUAACUAUGACGUUCUGGACGGUCCCAAAUAAGAAAGCCACGGCUACCUAGUU